CGAGGCGACGUGAGUCUAUUCCGC
rnacentral:miRNA from 1 species